rnacentral:rRNA from 1 species
UGGGGAAUUUUGGACAAUGGGCGAAAGCCUGAUCCAGCAAUGCCGCGUGUGUGAAGAAGGCCUUCGGGUUGUAAAGCACUUUUGUCCGGAAAGAAAUCCUCUGGGUUAAUACCUCGGGGGGAUGACGGUACCGGAAGAAUAAGCACCGGCUAACUACGUGCCAGCAGCCGCGGUAAUACGUAGGGUGCAAGCGUUAAUCGGAAUUACUGGGCGUAAAGCGUGCGCAGGCGGUUUUGUAAGACGGAUGUGAAAUCCCCGGGCUUAACUGGGAACUGCAUUCGUGACUGCAAGGCUAGAGUAUGGCAGAGGGGGGUAGAAUUCCACGUGUAGCAGUGAAAUGCGUAGAGAUGUGGAGGAAUACCGAUGGCGAAGGCAGCCCCCUGGGCCAAUACUGACGCUCAUGCACGAAAGCGUGGGGGAGCAAACAGGAUUCAGAUACCCUGGUAGUCCACGCCCUAAAACGAUGUCAACUAGUUGUUGGGGAUUCAUUUCCUUAGUAACGUAGCUAACGCGUGAAGUUGACCGCCUGGGGAGUACGGUCGCAAGAUUAAAACUCAAAGGAAUUGACGGGGUCAUAGCUGUUUCC